GGUUUGCUGGAUGUUUGCCACAUUCCUAGUUGCCAUUGAAAGCUCAACGAGCAAACUGUAAGCACAACAAACGCAAUUCUAAAGCAAUACAAACCAAAAAAAAAUUAACAUUAAAGUGAUACAUAUUAUAACAAUUAUUAAGAGUUUGACAAAAAGUUUAAAUUUUUAUAAAACAAAAACAAAAAUAUUGCUAAAAAAUAAUUUUUUUAUAUUAUUUUUUUUUUUAAGAAAAGGAAAUGAGUUUUAAAUAAAAAAAAUUAAAAUGACAUCAACUAUAAAAUUUUUUCAAUUUUAAACAAAUCCAUCAAAAGUGAUGACAUACAAGUUUAAACACAAAAUUAGUGAGAAUUUUUCUUAAAACAACUACAACAAUAAAUAAAUAAUGACAAAAUUCAAACUAAAAACAAAAAAAAAAUAAAUCCCCUCCGUUAAUUAAAUGCAAAUGUCUGUGCAGAUAAUGAUAAGUGAUGUUGAAUUGUUGGUUGGGUCAUACUUUGCGUUAGUGGCUAAAAAAUAACAUUUACAAUUAAAAUAACUUGCAGCAAUAUGUUUCCGAAACUUAAAUUGUAUAUUUUUAUUUACCUAUUCUAUAAUUAUUAUUAUUUAAAUUUUAAAAAAAAUAACAACAAACACAAAUUUUAUAUUUAAAUAUAUGUAAUUAAAUAUGUCAAUUGAAAAAAUCAAAAUCAAAAUCAAAUCUAAAAUUUAUUUUAGAUUUCCUCCUCAACAUCUAUUCAACAACGACAGCGUCAUCGCCUACAACAUCAGCAAAACACGAAUUUAAAAUUCAUGAUCAAGGUAAAUAGUUAAUUGUUUUUUUAAUUAAAUAAACAAAAUUAUUAUAUGUAUUGCAAUUUUAAAUUGAUUUAAUAUAUUCGGACAAAUAUCUUAACAAUUUAAUAAAUCACUUGUGUUUAAGUGUUAAAGUACUAUUUUUAAACAACUUUUAUUAUAAUUUAAUGAGUUGUUUUAGUACAAUUAAAAAAACAAAAUUUUGUUAAAUUAUUAUUAAUUGUUAAUUUCAUUAAACUAUUGUUUAAAAGUCCCAUAUUUAGAAUAUAAUUUUUAUUGUAAUAUAAUUUUUAUUAUAUUAUAUAAUUUUUAUUGUAAUGGACAAACAAAUAAAUAACCUCUGACCUAUUCUGAGUAUGCAUAUUACCUAACCUACAAAAUAUGUAACACAUUUCCAAUUCGCUAACUAGACAUAAAAUGCCUUAAAAGUGUUAAUUAACAACAUCUUAAGAGAUCACCAUUUUGAACUAAAAGUACUCUUUACUCUUUCCUAAUUAAAUUUGGAUUAUCCUAGUAAAAAUAAUAAGAAAUUGAACGAAAUAGUUAGGUUAGAUCAAUAGUAAAACGUACAUUACCACAGAUCCGAAAAAAAUAACCUAUAUCCCUUUCGGUCCUGUUGUGUGCUGACUUACAUAGAAUAUGUGGAUGCAAAAAUCGUACAAGCUCAGUAUCUCACUUUCGUGUACGUAGUUUCUUUGAAAUUCCCAUUCAGUAUUCUUAAAGCAUGUAAUAUCAGGAUUAAAAUUGAUUCCAAUAUGUUUAGAUCUAAUUUCGACGAAAGCCAGGCAUAGAAAGUGUUUCAGUGUUGAACUGUACUCUUCGCAUCUUCUACAUUCGUUUGAAUCUGUUUGAUCGAUUUUCUAUAGUUGUGCCCGUAAAUUUAUGUGUCCAUUUUGAGCAGAUUCCUCGUUGAGGUCACCCCAUAGUAUUUUUGUGGUCCUAAACACUGUUUCAUUAUUGCAACUGGCCGUAUGGAAUUCUCUUAUCCAUAUUUUCAAUAAAGUCCUAGUUGUGUCGAAUGAUGGUGCAUUCGUCCGAUUAAUUUCCUUAAGUUAGGUUGAUCCGAAGAAAUACAGAUAGGCUACUGUGCGCUCAUUUAAUGGAAAAUGUUUGUUGGUAAAAACUAAAAACCCUUAUAUAGUAUAGUAUGCAUUAUCCUCCAAUGUUCAGAAACUCAGUUUCCUAGACGUAAUUCUUAAGGCUUUUCCUAUCAAUGUUCGUGAGGGAUGUUAUAUCCGGAAUAAUAUCACUCCAAAGAUAUUUUGAUUUAAUUUUUGCGAAAGCCUAACAACAACAAAGAAAGCGCUCCCUACAUGCUCUACAUUCAUCUGAAUCCGCACGUCCAAUUUUGUAUAGCUGUGCCCGUAAUCCUGUGAAUCCACUUAGAAUAUGUACCAUCAUACUUAACUCAAACUAGCUCAUUUUGAGGAGGCUUCUCGUCCUGCUCUCUAUAGGGUCACGCUAUAGGAUCUUUGUGGUUCUAACCAACGUUUCAUUAUUCCAAGAGGCCUAACCCACUUUUUAAUUCUACCCUCAUUGCGUCAAAUGUUUUUGGGUUCGUGAGGUUAAGCUGCCAUCCUUUUAAAGCUAUUACAUUCUCUCUUUCGUUACCGGUUACUCCUGAGUGGCCUAAUACCCAUAUAAUUAACUCCCUUAAGUACUUUUUUUUUAAAGCAAGUAUAUUCGGUCUCUCCUAACCGAUGGGCACCGAGUUCUCCGACUGAUCCAUUUCUUACCACUGAAAGAGUAUUAGUUUAUAGCUCUCUUACAGUCUAAGACUGUUUUAGAUUAAAUCCUAUAAGUUGUAGCUGUCGCGGAAAAUAUCUUAAUAAUGGCAAUAUAUUCAAUCAAAUCCAUUUUACACAUUUCGUGAUAGCUCGGACUUCCAUAUGGUAGCUAGUGUUGUUGUUAGAUAGUUGGUUAUAUAUCUCGAUUUGUAUGUUUUCAAUUAAAUCCCCAGACCCGUUUUGUCUCGCAAUUUAAAGAUAUUCGUGUAUCAGCAAAUUUCCGCAGAGGUUUACUCCAAUGUUACGCUUUAGCACGAUCUCGUAUAUAGGAUCAAUGCCUCACAUUUCCAACCCAUUUCUCUUUCCGUUUACGUUCUUAUUCACGCAAGUCUGGUGUUUGUUUAUGUAUGUAUGUUCAUAUGCAUAGUUCGAAGGUUUUAUAUCCAGAUAUUUGAUAUCUGACCGCAACCAAUACAAUUAUUACUUUGUUGCCAAGGAUAUUCGUCUUAGAAAAUUAAUAAGACCAAUUUAAGCCACAUUUUUUAAAACAAUAUGAUAUAAAGUAACGGAUACCAGAUUUGAAUUUCCAAAAAUAUAAGCAAAACAUUAUACCGUCGGAAAAGAGAUUAAUUUUCCUUUUAAAUGUAAUGCAAUAGAUAAGCAUCUGGCUCCAAACUAAAAAAAUUCUAAGUGAAAAAAGUGAGUUUUGUGUUAUUAGAUAUUAACGUUAAAAUUUAAUUUUUAAAGUGCAUUUUAUAAAGUACCGGAUACUUUCAGAAUUACAUCGAUUCAAAGGGGGACUGAAUUAAUUGUGAAUUUUAUCGUAUACUAGUAUUUUUAAGCCAAUUAUAAACAUUAAAAUUUUAUAAUCAAGAGGUCCUUGUAUGGGUCAAAAACUAACCUAUGCUUAAUAAUAGCGAUGGCUGCAUAACAAACAUUUAUGUAAAUAAAUCUAAAACUGUCAUUUCAUUCUAAAGUUUCGUAACAUCAACGAAACAUGUCAUUAUAUUAAGGAAACUAAAUUACAAACAAAAUUUUUUAGUUCAUAAUACCCUACACCACUUUAGUGGGGAGUGUAUAUUGGGUUUGUGCAGAUGUUUGUAAAGCACAAUAAUGUUAUACCUGUAUCCACCUUAAAGUAUACCAAUCGGUUUAGAAUAAUUUUCUGAGUCGAUUUAGAUAUGUCCGUCCGUCCAUGUAAAUCAUACUACCGGUCGCAAUUUUAAAGAUAAGUCAAUGAAAUUUGACACAUGAUAUUCUAUUGUACUAGAGACGAAGUCUAUUGAAAAUAGUUAAGGUCGGUCAAUUAUUUCACCUAGCUCCCAUACAACUGAACUCCCGAAUAGUGCUCUUAAGCUCCUAAUAUACUCAUAUCUCAACAAAAAGCUGCAAAACCAAGUUCUAUACAAGCCUUGAUGACCCUGUACAAUUUUAUAGCGAUAAGGCCUCAUUUGACCCUAGCCCCUUUACAAAGCCCCAUUAAAAAAAUGUCUUAAAUAUCCACAAUUUUAUUCAACAAUAAAUAACUGAGGGAGGGUACAAUUUAACUUAAAUGGUUUAUUUUAAUUUUUUUUUUUUAAUUUAUUAUUAUAAAUGGUGUAAGGUAUUAUUAUAUGGUCAACCUCGUCCCACAAUAAAUUCUUACUUGUUUUGUUAAUGAAAAGAUUUCGUUAUAUUAACGAAAUUUUGUAAUUCGUUGAAACAACAAUGAAACAAUUUUCAUUAAUACAAUGAUAUACAUCUAUAAAAAACGUAGUUUUUACGAAGGUUUUUUUACAGUGUAAAUUUUUGUAACUUAUCAAUAGAGAGUUAGACAGAUGGACACCUUUGUGGGUCUCAGAAUGACAAAAUAAAAAUAGCCCCGAUUUUUUUUUAUCAAAUAUAAAUAAUUUUCCAAGAAAAACUAAAAAUUAUUAAAAAAAAAAAACUGGAAAAAAUGCAUUCAAUACAAAACACUGUGCUUGCGUCAAGUGAAUUUUUGGGUUGUGGAUGUAUGAGAACAAUUGUUUUUUUGCUGUUUUUGUAUAUCAUACAUAUACAGGGAGACCUAUACUCGUUAAAGUUUAUAAAAGGGUUUGAGUCUGGGUUAGGAGAACACAAUAGCAACAACAAUAACAAUGAAAAAAGUAAUUACAUAUGAAUGUAUAUAAAUAUAUGUUCAUAUGUAUGUAUCUAUAUAUGUAUGUAUGUGAUUUUGUAUUAUAUACUUUUGUAUAUAAGUUUAGUUUGUUGGUAAGUUUGUGGCGGUGAUGAUAGUAAAAAAAAUAUACAGAAGGAAAGCAAAAGUAAUACCAACACUAACACAUUAAAUCUCUAAUAAAGCCCGAAUAAGAGCGAAAACAUUGUCGUGUUAUAGGUAUAUACGAGAGAUUAAGUUUGUGUUUUUUUUUUUUUUUUUUUCAAAAUAAGGCAAAAAAUGUAAAUAAAAAUGAAAUAGAAAAAACAAACACUGAGAGAAAAGUUUACUGUACAGAGGAGAUUGAGGAAAAAAACCAACGAGUAAUUGCACUAAAUGAGCGAGUGAGUACAUUGUGUUUUUUAUUGUUGUUAGGAUUUCAGAUAACAACAACUUGCUCUCACAGUGAAAGCUAAAAGCAAAAUAAAGAAAGAAAGAAAAUACAAGAUUGGGUCAGGGGUCUUAGUUAGUGGAAAAAAAGGGCCCCGAUUUUACACAAACCCCUUGUAAAGAAAGUGAUAAGAAAACAAUAAUAAUAAAAAAGCGAAAUAAAGAAUAAGAAAAAUAAAAAAAAUUAUAGUAAAAAGUAAACACAAACAUUUUUUAAGGACUAAAAAAUAAAUUUUUAAUUUUUCAAAAAAAAAAAAUUAUUAGAAAAAUUAUUAGUUUUUAUAAGUUUCAACAAAAUUACACACCAAAAAAAAAUAAUAAUAAAAACAACCAUAUAGUAUUAUUCCCCAUAAACAAGAACAAAAUAACGUAGAAUGAGUACUAGACAGUAGAAACGAUUUUAAACGAAUCAACGUCGCUUGUUAUAUAUUUUUGUUGCUGUUGUUGUUGUUGUUAGUGUAGCUGUUGUUGCUGAAAACGAAGGUAGAGAACUAAACUAAACUUUCCAUAUGGUCUGCUGGUGAUGACUGUGGCAUUGAGAACUGAAACCUUUGUGUGAUCGUACGAAACGGAUAUAAGCGGCAUCCAAAUAACAAGCAGUAGCAGCAGCAACAACAACAACAAAAACCAUUAAAAAAAGAAAUUGUAAAAAACACACACAUACAUACCAAAAUACUCUAGCAACAGAAAUUUAAUAAAAAAUUACUUAAAAGUAAAUAAAAAUUUUAUUAAAAAAAUACAAAUAAUUAAAGAAAAAUCAAUAAAACUUUUAUUAAAAAAAAUUAGAAAAAUUAUUUAUAAAUUUAAAUUUGUUUGAAAAUGUUACAAAAAAGUGUUUAAAACAUUACAAUUCCAUAACAAUUUAAUUGAUGUGCCAAAUUAAAAAAAAAAAACAAAAAACAAAAUUGACAAACCCUUAAGUUGUUCAAAGUUUUCCCCUCCUCUUCCUUCUGCAACUACACAUACCCAAAUAUUAUAAAAUCCAAAUGUUUUGAACGGAAAUUACACAUUCAAAAUCAAAAACUGAAAUCAAUGACAUUGACAGAAGCAAGUAGCAGCAGCGAAAAUGUCAACAUGCUAAUGCAAUUUUACUUCCAACGUCAAAGACAAGGCAACAAAAAGAAAAACAACAUGGCGAAAGAUGUUAAAACAUUAGACCAUCUAUCCAUGCAUCCAUACAUCCAACCAUCCAGCCAGGCAUCAGCCAUUUAACCAGCCAAAUUUAAAUUGUUUCGCGUGUGUGUUUAGUAUAGAGAAAAAAAAAAGUAAAGUUUUAUGAGCGGAUGUUUUGGGGCAAUAUAGGUUACGCAUACAAAUGAAUAAUGGUGCACAACUCAUACCCGGGAUGCAUUUAAUGUCAAAGUACAAAUGGCAACAACAACAUCAACAUCAGCGCCAAUAAAUGUGGAAAAUGACUUUGACAUGCGCAACUGCACUUGAACCUGAAAUUUCAAUUUCGCCAAUGGCUGGGUGGGUGACCGGGUAUAUACACAAUAGCAACAACAAUAACAGCCCACUAUAUUGAAAGUGAAAUUUUUGGAAAUGAAAAGUGCAAGUGUAGGUAUUAAUAAAAACAACAGGAAUGUUUUAACUUGGUUUGGCAGCAUUGUUUUGGAAAUUUAAGAAACACACAGGAGAAACAACAAAAACAAAGCCUUAGCUAA